rnacentral:lncRNA from 1 species
GAACCCUUUUCAAGUUUUUCAAAGGAAUUUUAUGGUAACCAAAAGCAUCUUGUUGGGGAUAUAAUGGCCAUGUAAUCACCAAAGUGGACCCAUUCUUGUAAUUCUCCCAUGUUCUGGUUUCGACACGUUGAACACUUCAAAAGUAAAGGAAUGUUUAAGAUUGAGGUUUAUGUCAUGUUGUCAACUCAAACUACAUUAACUCACAAAGAAAAAAAAAAAAGAAAAGAAAAGAAAAAGGAAAUCUUGACCCAUAUAUGCAAAUAGAAAUGGUUUAAUAUCGCUUUCAGCCCCUGUAUGCUUUGGGUUAUAAAAUGCUUUUACUUUGUGAAAUCCAGUCCUCCUCC